rnacentral:rRNA from 1 species
AGAAACCAACAGGGAUUGCCUCAGUAACGGCGAGUGAAGCGGCAACAGCUCAAAUUUGAAAUCUGGCCGCAAGGUCCGAGUUGUAAUUUGUAGAGGAUGCUUUUGGCGAGGUGACUUCCGAGUUCCCUGGAACGGGACGCCAUAGAGGGUGAGAGCCCCGUACGGUCGUGCCACCGAGCCUCUGUAAAGCUCCUUCGACGAGUCGAGUAGUUUGGGAAUGCUGCUCUAAAUGGGAGGUGUACGUCUUCUAAAGCUAAAUACCGGCCAGAGACCGAUAGCGCACAAGUAGAGUGAUCGAAAGAUGAAAAGCACUUUGAAAAGAGGGUUAAAAAGUACGUGAAAUUGUUGAAAGGGAAGCAUUCAUGACCAGACUUGGGCUUGGUUGAACAUCCGGCGUUCUCGCCGGUGCACUCUGCCAGCUCAGGCCAGCAUCAGUUUGCCCCGGGGGACAAAGGCGGCGGGAAUGUGGCUCCCCACGGGGAGUGUUAUAGCCCGUCGUGUAAUGCCCUGGGGUGGACUGAGGUUCGCGCUUCGGCACGGAUGCUGGCGUAAUGGUCAUCAAUGACCCGUCUUGAAACACGGACCAAGGAGUCGUCUUCGUAUGCGAGUGUUCGGGUGUCAAACCCCUACGCGUAAUGAAAGUGAACGUAGGUGAGAGCUUCGGCGCAUCACCGACCGAUCCUGAUGUUCUCGGAUGGAUUUGAGUAAGAGCAUACGGGGCCGGACCCGAAAGAAGGUGAACUAUGCCUGUAUAGGGUGAAGCCAGAGGAAACUCUGGUGGAGGCUCGCAGCGGUUCUGACGUGCAAAUCGAUCGUCAAAUAUGGGCAUGGGGGCGAAAGACUAAUCGAACU